rnacentral:rRNA from 1 species
GAUGAACGCUGGCGGCGUGCCUAAUACAUGCAAGUCGAGCGAACAGACGAGGAGCUUGCUCCUCUGACGUUAGCGGCGGACGGGUGAGUAACACGUGGAUAACCUACCUAUAAGACUGGGAUAACUUCGGGAAACCGGAGCUAAUACCGGAUAAUAUAUUGAACCGCAUGGUUCAAUAGUGAAAGACGGUUUUGCUGUCACUUAUAGAUGGAUCCGCGCCGCAUUAGCUAGUCGGUGAGGUAACGGCUCACCAAGGCACCGCUGCGUAGGCGGCCCGAGAGGGGGGUGGGCCGGGCUGGAGCUGAGACACGGUGCAGAGUCGUACGGGAGGCGCCAGUAGGGAAUCUUCGGCGAUGGGCGAGAGCCUGACGGAGCAACGCCGCGUGGGUGAUGAAGGGCUUCGGAUCGUAAAAGUCUGUUAUUAGGGAAGAACAAAUGUGUAAGUAACUAUGCGCGUCUUGACGGUACCUAAUCAGAAAGCCACGGCUAACUACGUG